CACGGAGGCAGCCUCGCUGAAUAAGACUGAAUGUGAUCAACUGCCAACAUGGAAAUAGAAAUCCUCCCCUAUUUCCUCUCUGUUUCCCAGCAUUUCUCUCUGGGACACGUCCCAGCAGCACUGGGAACACCGUCUGUAGCUCUCUCCUCCUAACACUCCCAAAAUUGCAAUGGUGAAGCCCCCAUCCUCUCUGUGUUCAGCACUGGUCGCAGAAAUGGGGGCAGAGAGCAUUACGUGUGUCCUAAAAGGCAAGGGAGGUAAUUCUAGAUAGUACAUUACCCAUCCAUGGUCCUCACUAAGAGCCCUGUUUUUGGUGGUUUUUUCUUUUGUGUGUGUGUGUGUAUGUGGGGGGGUUGUUUGUUUUGGGGUUUUGUUGUUGUUGUUUUGCUUUUUUUUUUCUUUCAGGCAGUAAUCUCUUUUUUUCUGUUGGAAUCAAAUCAAAGCAUGUUUGUGCUCAGGAGCAACACAGAUUUCCUAAGUAACACAGAAGCUAUUUUUAGAGGAUCUUGGGAGGGGGAAGAUCUUGGGAUCCACCUAAACUUAGAUCCAGCCUAUGGCGUGGUCUCUCUCACAAAGAUCGCUUGUAUAUUUCACCCCGCUUGUUUUGAAGGGCCUGAGAUGCCCUGCAGGGCUGUGCCCCGUAAGCCUGGAGCUGCCCAUUGCAGCAUCACACAGUCUUUCCCUUCUUCUCCUUUAAAGCACACUGCUUUUCACCUCUUGGAGAACCCUGCGAUGAGGCCAAUUUGUGCUGACCGUGACAUAUUAGUGGUACAGCUGGACUGUCUGUCGGUGCAUUUGGGUUUUAUUUUUAAGCAAUUGCAACACCCAACGUGGGACUCAAAACUUACAACCCCGAGAUCAAGAGUCACAUGCUCUACUGAUCAAGAGUUGCUCCUCUUUGUCACUCUUACCACAAAGAAGUAA
rnacentral:lncRNA from 1 species